GGGGCCAGACCGGCUGGAUCCCUCCUUAUCGAAGACAUCAGCUUCUUCAUAAGCUCCCACACGAAUUGCUUGAUUCACUUGCGAAAAGCGAUUGGGUUGUUAGACCCGAGAGUAAGACGAUUGGGUCUGUAGCUCAGUUGGUUAGAGCGCACCCCUGAUAAGGGUGAGGUCGGCAGUUCGAAUCUGCCCAGACCCACCAAUUGUCAUGGGCGUGGCAGGUCUUCGAGGGGCCAUAGCUCAGCUGGGAGAGCGCCUGCUUUGCACGCAGGAGGUCAGGAGUUCGAUCCUCCUUGGCUCCACCAUCCACUCUGAAAUCGCUGAAAGCUCAGAAAUGAGUGCCUUGAGAAUGGCAUUGAUUUCUGGACUUUGCGCCAGAACCGUUCUUUAAAAAUUUGGGUAUGUGAUAGAAGUAGACUGAUUAAUCUCUUUCACUGGUGAUUAAUCAAGUCAAGGUAAAAUUUGCGAGUUCAAGCGCGAAUUUUCGGCGAAUGUCGUCUUCACGUUAGAGACAAUAACCAGAUUGCUUGGGGGUUUUAUUGGGGGUCAAAAA
rnacentral:tRNA from 1 species